rnacentral:tRNA from 1 species
CACUAGCCUUUUAAGCUAGAGAAAGAGGACUACCAAACCUCCCUAAUGAU